rnacentral:rRNA from 1 species
AUUGAACGCUGGCGGCGUGCUUAACACAUGCAAGUCGAGCGAGGCCCGCCUUUCGGGGUGGUGUCCUAGCGGCGAACGGGUGAGUAACACGUGGGCAACCUGCCCUCAGCUCUGGGAUAACUCCAAGAAAUUGGGGCUAAUACCGGAUAUGACCGCUGACCGCAUGGUCUGGUGGUGGAAAGAUUUAUCGGCUGGGGAUGGGCCCGCGGCCUAUCAGCUUGNGGUGGGGUAGUGGCCUACCAAGGCGACGACGGGUAGCCGGCCUGAGAGGGUGACCGGCCACACUGGGACUGAGACACGGCCCAGACUCCUACGGGAGGCAGCAGUGGGGAAUAUUGCGCAAUGGGCGAAAGCCUGACGCAGCGACGCCGCGU